rnacentral:rRNA from 1 species
CCUGAUUCCAUUCCGAACUCAGAAGUGAAACGAAAUAGCGCCGAUGGUAGUGUGGGGUUUCCCCAUGUGAGAGUAGGACAUCGCCAGGCU